ACGGGUGAGGAAUACAUCGGAAUCUGCCUUAUUGUGGGGGAUAACGUAGGGAAACUUACGCUAAUACCGCAUAAGACCGAAAGGUGAAAGUGGGGGACCGCAAGGCCUCACGCGAUAAGAUGAGCCGAUGUCGGAUUAGCUAGUUGGUGAGGUAAUGGCUCACCAAGGCGACGAUCCGUAGCUGGUCUGAGAGGAUGAUCAGCCACACUGGAACUGAGACACGGUCCAGACUCCUACGGGAGGCAGCAGUGGGGAAUAUUGGACAAUGGGCGCAAGCCUGAUCCAGCCAUGCCGCGUGGGUGAAGAAGGCCUUCGGGUUGUAAAGCCCUUUUGUUGGGGAAGAAAUCGUACGGGGUAAUAUCCCGUGCGGAUGACGGUACCCAAAGAAUAAGCACCGGCUAACUUCGUGCCAGCAGCCGCGGUAAUACGAAGGGUGCAAGCGUUACUCGGAAUUACUGGGCGUAAAGCGUGCGUAGGCGGUUCGUUAAGUCUGUCGUGAAAGCCCUGGGCUCAACCUGGGAAUUGCGAUGGAUACUGGCGAGCUAGAGUACGGUAGAGGAUGGUGGAAUUCCCGGUGUAGCGGUG
rnacentral:rRNA from 2 species